GAUCCUGGCUCAGGACGAACGCUGGCGGCGUGCCUAAUACAUGCAAGUCGAGCGGGAAUUUAAAAGCUUGCUUUUAAAUUCUAGCGGCGGACGGGUGAGUAACACGUGGGCAAUCUGCCCUGCACUCUGGGACAAGCCCUGGAAACGGGGUCUAAUACCGGAUAUGACCACUAGGGGCAUCCCUUGGUGGUGUAAAGCUCCGGCGGUGCAGGAUGAGCCCGCGGCCUAUCAGCUUGUUGGUGAGGUAACGGCUCACCAAGGCGACGACGGGUAGCCGGCCUGAGAGGGCGACCGGCCACACUGGGACUGAGACACGGCCCAGACUCC
rnacentral:rRNA from 1 species